rnacentral:sRNA from 1 species
AACCCCCAGCUAGGCUGGGGGUUCAGUAAAGCUUUCAGCUUUGAGCCAGU